CAUGAACUGAUUAUGUAUUGUCAAGUGAAUUUAAAUUCAUGUUGAAAAUUUGUACAAGAACAAUACACACGGGCAAGUGAACUAGAGAAUUGGGAGAAACCUACUCCAAUCCAAUGACACUUGAUGGCUUCUCAAAAUUUGUUACAGUUUCAUAAAUGGAGAUAAACUAAUCACUAACACUAAAUUGAAGCACAAAACCUUAUCGAACACAAGAAAGUAAAUUCGGCAAGUGGGGAAAUCUACUUGGUUGAAUGAAACAUCUUGGGCAUAUA
rnacentral:lncRNA from 1 species